rnacentral:rRNA from 1 species
AGACGGAGGGGGCUAGCGUUGUUCGGAAUUACUGGGCGUAAAGGGCGGGCAGGCGGUCUGCUCAGUCUUCUGUGAAAAUCCGGGGCUCAACCCCGUGAAAUGCAGAAGAUACUGGUAGACUAGAGACCGGUAGAGGCUAGCGGAAUUCCUGGUGUAGCGGUGGAAUGCGUAGAUAUCAGGAAGCACACCUGUGGCGAAGGCGGCUAGCUGGGCCGGAUCUGACGCUCAUCCGCGAAAGCGUGGGGAGCAAACAGGAUUAGAAACCCCAGUAGUCC